rnacentral:tRNA from 2 species
GGAGAGGUGCUCGAGUGGUUGAAGAGGCACGCCUGGAAAGCGUGUAUACCCCUAAAGGGUAUCGAGAGUUCGAAUCUCUUCCUCUCCGCAA